UUUCAACUAUAAUUUUCAAAUGAAAUUAAUUAUUUAUUUUUUCUUUCUGUAAUUAACAGCAAAAUGAGGAAGAAAAAGUUAGGUCAUUUACCAGCAUUGGCCUCCACCUGCAGAAUGGUGACGAUACAAACCGUGAAUAAAGCUACGAGCUUCAUGUAGCCUUACCAGCUGAGUUAAAAGCAUCUGGCCUUACCGAUUCUACAGAGAUGUUUCAUAGUGAAUACGCCGGCCAUGUGACCUCCUCUAAAGUACGUAUCUGUUUGGACUCUGACACCGUUCCUACAUAUGGUGAAAUGUUAUUACAGUUGUGCAGGUGAAUGUGGUUUUCUUGUUGUUGUCAUGUGGUUUACCUAUCCGUAUUUCAAUCGCGACUGAAUGCUUAAAGUCUAGAUUUUAUGUGUGUUCCAUUUAUUGCUGUUACUGUGUUUGUUUGAUCCUUAAGCGUGACACAAAACUCGGUAGAAUAUUUGAAGCAUUACUAAGUUGGAUUAGAAGAAGGUGACUUUGGAAUCAUAAAUCAUGGGAUAAACAUGAAAAUGUAUUUAAUUGUAUGGUCAUAGUCCAGCCAAGAGGACCGUUUGCAACUAGCCAACUUAGGACACAAUUCUGUAGUGUGAUUCCUCCAAUUGUGAUUGGUGCGAAGGGGACCGGAAUUUCUCUUUGCUGCAAUUAAAUAUCACAUUUCUUCGAUCCCGGGAUUUGAAUCUAUUGCCUUGGAAUCGUGAGCACAAGAGAGCCAAUUAAACAGUACUUUUUUUAUCGUCUCUUUAUUAAUGUUAAACUAAUACUAUCCAAGUUCAUUAAUGUAACAUGGAUUGAACAAAAGACGUUGAAUGCACGAGCUUAGAAUUCGUUGUCAAAUAUCUUCUGUCGUUGGACCCUCCGUCAAAAGUGGCAGGAACUUGCAACAAUCUUGACAGAUGCAAUCUCGUUGAAAAAUGGCCACAACGAUAUCCAUGAACUUCUUUUUUGUUUUUCUAACGUGUAAAGAUUUCACAAUGUCUUGCCUUAGGUUAAGGACCUAGGAAAAAAGUGUAACAUUGUUUAUAUUUUGGUGAAAUUCCCCGAUAAACGUCUAACCGAAAAAGAGACUAAGAAAGUUCUUCUAAAACA